CCAAUGCUUCAGUCAUCUCAGAAGGCCUGGGUAGUUUGCUUUCCCCAGUGCACAGUCACUCUGUAAAUAGCACAGGUCUUCUGAGUAGGGCCUAGAGGGAGACUUACAGUAGGUACUUGCAGCAGGGCUGCAGAGUUCAUUCUUUGGGGGAAAUCCCCCCACACCCUCACACCCCAGUUCAUAAAGGGGCCCUGGGGCUGUGAACUGACUCAGUCCUAAGAGCUAGGGGAGAGGCCGUGACUCUCUGCUGUGGUGAUUCAAAUCAGGUUUCUGGCUACCAGACCCAGAAUUUUUUUCUGUUAUACUUGAGUAGGCAGCCCAACAAUUUUGUUCCUAGAGAUACCAUCAUUCAUUAGCCAUUGCCAAGAAUCCCAGUGGCCAAAGGCAUUCUGAUUACAUCUCUGCCGCCCUUCGUGGUAAAUGUGCCCACCUUAUCUCUGACAAUUAAGUGCUCCCAAUUAUCCGGAGGCACUUCAGGAUCCCAUCACCCCACUGAUACCAGGAAGCUCAUCUCAAUGACAACAUCCUUAGGGUCACACCUGCCUAUGUAGGAAAGCAAGCACAGAGCUUUUAGAGAGGCAGAUGCUCCCCUCACUAUUCUAUUUCUCAAUGUCUUAGUAAAGAAGUGUCUUCUGGGCCUUCUCAUGGUUAGGAAUGGGUGCUUGGUGGUAGACGUGUAAGUCACACAUGAUAAAUCCACUGUGACAUUCCUGUCUCCCUACAUCUUUGGAUUCUCUCCCCCAAAUCAUAGCAGGGAAGCUCUGACAUCUCCACCUCAUCAAAUGUAGGCAAAUGUUGAGUCACCUCCUGCUGCUCAAGCUAAACCAUGAAAUCCAGACUCUCUGGUAAGUGCAUCUAUAUCAAUGAAUUAAACAAAUGGAGUGUGAUAGCCUACCCUGUUGGAUCUAACACUCUUAGAAUCAACUCGACAUGUUUCCCAGGUUUCUUCCAAUAUUUAUUAGCAAAAUCUUACCAUUCUUUUGGUGUGUAAGUGAUUUCCUUCUGAGUUAGUUAUCUGAGUUUUAUGUCCCACUGUAACAUGCUAAGAUUUGACCCUAGUUAUGGAUCCAGUGACAACAGGGGUGACUGUACCAGGUCUGAAGAGUGAGCCGUUUCCAAGGCAUCCUCCCAGAUGAAGUUAUCACAGGGGUGACUGUACCAGGUCUGAAGAGCAACCCUUUCCAAGGCAUCCUCCCAGAUGAAGUUAUCACAGGGGUGACUGUACCAGGUCUGAAGAGCAACCCUUUCCAAGGCACCCUCCCAGAUGAAGUUAUCACAGGGGUGACUGUACCACGUCUGAAGAGUGACCCCUUUCCCAGGCAUCCUCCCAGAUGAAGUUAUCACAGGGGUGACUGUACCAGGUCUGAAGAGCAACCCUUUCCCAGGCAUCCUCCCAGAUGAAGUUAUCACAGGGGUGGUGACUGUACCAGGUGUGAAGAGCGAGCAACCCUUUCCAAGGCAUCCUCCCAGAUGAAGUUAUCACAGGGGUGACUGUACCAGGUCUGAACAGUGAGCCCUUUCCAAGGCAUCCUCCCAGAUGAAGUUAUCACAGGGGUGACUGUACCAGGUCUGAAGAGCGAUCCCUUUCCAAGGCACCCUCCCAGAUGAAGUUAUCACAGGGGUGAAUGUACCAGGUCUGAAGAGUGACCCCUUUCCCAGGCAUCCUCCCAGAUGAAGUUAUCACAGGGGUGACUGUACCACGUCUGAAGAGUGACCCCUUUCCCAGGCAUCCUCCCAGAUGAAGUUAUCACAGGGGUGACUGUACCAGGUCUGAAGAGCAACCCUUUCCAAGGCACCCUCCCAGAUGAAGUUAUCACAGGGGUGACUGUACCACGUCUGAAGAGUGACCCCUUUCCCAGGCAUCCUCCCAGAUGAAGUUAUCACAGGGGUGACUGUACCAGGUCUGAAGAGCAAGCAACCCUUUCCAAGGCACCCUCCCAGAUGAAGUUAUCACAGGGGUGGUGACUGUACCAGGUCUGAAGAGCAACCCUUUCCAAGGCACCCUCCCAGAUGAAGUUAUCACAGGGGUGGUGACUGUACCAGGUCUGAAGAGCGAGCAACCCUUUCCCAGGCAUCCUCCCAGAUGAAGUCAUCACAGGGGUGGUGACUGUACCAGGUCUGAAGAGUGACCCCUUUCCCAGGCAUCCUCCCAGAUGAAGUUAUCACAGGGGUGACUGUACCAGGUCUGAAGAGCAAGCAACCCUUUCCAAGGCACCCUCCCAGAUGAAGUUAUCACAGGGGUGACUGUACCAGGUCUGAAGAGCGAGCAACCCUUUCCAAGGCAUCCUCCCAGAUGAAGUUAUCACAGGAUCUUCAGGCAAAGGAAGUGCGGUGUCCUCAGACACAGGAGGGCAGGGUACUUCCGCUGCCAAGGGAGCUUUAAAGUGAUUUGCCAGUUUCAUCCGAAUCUGAGCAGGUGUUCUCAUUCCAAGUUUCAGGGUCCUGUUCUUUCCCUGUGAGUGCUCUAACUUGCAUAUCAGUAACUUGGCAUGACUAUGACAAACUCAUGUGUAAUCCUGACUAAAACACCAGAACAGUGGUGUUGUAUUAACAACCAAUAAUAGAAAAAGGAUUCCCCAUUGUCACUACUACAACCAACAAGUACACUGGACUUUCUAGCUAGACAACAAGCCAUGAAAUGAAAACAGACAUAUAAAUAAUAAAAAGGAUAAUAUAAAAUUGUUAUUUGCAUGCAGUAAGAUUUUCCACCUAGGAAAUCCAAAUGAAUCCACUGAAAAACCAUUAGAGGGUUUAACAAAUCCACAGCAAUACACAAAAGAAAUACCUUUCCACAUACCAUACACUUAGAGACAGAACCAAGAAGGUUUCGCAAUGUUAUCACAGAAAAACCUGGAAACAACCUAAAUCUACUGACAGAAUGGUUCACUAAAUUUCAGUAUAUUCUGAGUGUGAGAUAUAUUCUAUCAAUCAGCUGUACUGCUACAGAAAACAUUAAAAACAAAGUAAAUGUAAGAAGAAAACAACAGGCUCUGGAACACUAUAUAUAGCAUGAUCCAAUUUACUUAAGAAACAAAUACUAGGCCGGGUGCAGUGGCUCAUGCCUGUAAUCCCAGCACUUUGGGAGGCUGAGGCCAGCAGAUCACUUGAGGGCAGGAGUUCAAGACCAGCCUGACCAACAUGGUGAAACCCCAUCUCUACCAAAAAUACAAAAAUUAGCCAGGUGUGGUGGCAGGUGCAUGUAAUCCCAGCUACUCGGGAGGCUGGCAGGAGAAUCACUUGAACCUGGAGGCAGAGGUUGCAGUGAGCCGAGAUCGCGCCAUUGCACUCCAGCCUGGGCAACAGAGCAAGACUCCUCUCAAAAACAAAACAAAACAAAAAACCACCACUGAGAAUAGGUAUGUUUUUAGGUAUAAGUAUGUAUAUGAAAAGAAAUACAUGUGGAAGAAACUUCCCUUCAGAAAGGGGAGUAAUUUAAGAGGGCUUUCACUUUCUUUAACCUAUGUAUUUCUGUCUGAAAUUGUAGCUGGACGUGGUGGUGCACACCUGUAGUCCCAGCUACUCAGGAGGCUGAGGUGGGAGGAUCACUUGGGCCCAGGAGUUUGAGGCUGCAGUGAGCUAUGGUGGCACCACUGCACUGAAGCCUGGGAAACAGAGAGAGACCCUGUCCCUAAAAAAUAAAAAAUAAAAAAAUAUAUACUUAUGUAUUGCUUGUGUUAUUGGGCUGAAGAUCUGGGAAACUCUGGCGUCAUCCCUUCGUGAUCCAUUUAUCUACCAACUCACUGAUAAAUAUCCAACACCUGCCAGGUAUCUCACACUUGAAACAGGUAACAUGAUACAUAAUUCUUAAAGUGCAGGGCUACAGAACCCUAAUUCUAAUAGCCUACCAGGUAUUUUUUUCAGUAAAGACCUGCAAGAGAGCAUCUACAAAUUCUCCUCUUUAACCACACAUUUGGAAUCCUUGACUGAAAACUCAUUAGCUUUUUCCAAAGGCAAGCUGUAUUAUAACUAAGCUGGAAAAUUUUCUCUUUAUUCAUCCAAUAGGGUUAUUUUGAAAGACUCCAGCUGGGGCUGGGCACGGUGGCUCACGCCUGUAAUCCCAGCACUUUGGGAGGCCGAGGCAGGUGGAUUACCUGAGGUCAGGAGUUCUAGACCAGCCUGGUCAACACAGUGAAACCCCAUCUCUACUAAAAAUACAAAAAUUAGCUGGACGUGCGCCUGUAAUCCCAGCUACUCAGGAGGCUGAGGCAGGCGAAUCGCUUGAGCCCAGGAGGCCGAGGUUGCAGUGAGCCAAGAUCACGCCACUGCACUCCAGCCUGGGCAGUAAAGCAAGACUGCAUCUCAAAAACAAAACAAAAAAAAAAAAAAAAAGAAAGAAAGACUCCAGGUAGACUUAGACAUAAUUCUAACCUUAGAUAUAUUAUAGACCCAGCUUGGUUAUUAGUAUUGAAAAUGCUCUUAAAACCACCGUGUCAUAUAUAUUUCACACAAGAAGAAAUAAAUUGAGUAAACAUGUGGAAAAAUGUUAUGUUCACCUGUUAAUAAGCAAAAAUAAAAAAUAAAACAACUCAUUAAAUUAGCAGACUUUGAAAAAUAUUGAAAAUGGCUACUAAUAUUGAAGAGACCUUGAAAUUACUGCCUGCAACACUGCUAACGGCAGCACAGAUUCGAGAGUAUUAGCAAUGUUUAUUAAAAGUCACAAAAUACUAGUCUCUGAAACAAAAAUCUCAUGACUGAGAUUGGCUUUUAGUAAAUAGUUGCCAUGAAGAAAAACAGUUCUUUGGGCAAAGCUUUAAUGAGUGCAUUAUUUAUAAUAACAAACUUUAGAAACAACCUAAAUAUAAAAAAAAAGUGUAACAAAUAAACUGUGGCACAACCAUUCAAUGGAACGUUAAACACAAUUUUCAAUUAUUUUAUAAAGAAACUGUAAUAACAUAAAAAAUGAAAAGCAAUGAGUAAUUUUAAAAAUCUUCACUCAACUGGGAAUGUUAUUUUUAUAGUGUAAAAGAUUAGUAAAUUUUUUUUUUUUUGAGACAGAUUCUUGCUCUGUUGCCCAGGCUGGAGUGAGUGGCAUGAUCUCGGCUCACUGUAACCUCUGCCUCCUGGGUUCAAG
rnacentral:lncRNA from 10 species